CGAUUUUAAACAAUAAUGACUUUUUAAUGUGGACCUGUGAUUACAUUGUCACAGUGAAAUACGGGUCCUCUUGACUGCAUUGGAAAUGAGGGCCAAAAUGUGAAAUACAACACCAGCAUAGAUUAGAGCAGUGCACCAGAUGGCCACAGAAAAUGAAGAGCAAAAGAACAAAAAGCCGAGUCUGACCCCCUUGCUGGAAAGCUGCUUUGCCACUGUCACCCACCACUGCAGUCUAAUGAUGAC